ACCUUGUUUCUGUCUUUUCCCCAUGUCUCCCUGUUUUCCCUACAUGUCCCACACUGGCCUGCUCCCGCUAACUAGGGGGGCGUGGUGAUUAGUUACACACCGGAGUUCGUUCGCACUGAUUACUGGCCGGACAGUAUAAAACCACCCAGGUACGAAGAAGCGUUGUAAGCUCUGCCUGUUUAACCCCCUAGCGUGUCGGAUUUAGUCAUCAGGUAUGUUGCAAUACUCCCGUUUGCUGCCAGACUAAUAACAUGGUUUAAUCAAUGUUUGUCUUCACCUGUAGCUUCGUGGUCACCGGCUAGUCUGCUCCUGCUGCCCGUGUGUUAGACACCAUCCCUUAUUCAUUCUACAGCUGAACGUGGAUGUGGGGCCCUCUUUGAGGGAGGCUAGUCACCUGGUGGUGGGACCCUGUAGCUGCACAUUUGUGGUGUCAUUGUUGCUUGCGGUGGGCUGCUGUGUCACUGGUAAGUCACUUUCUUGCAGUGUGUAUGCACGUGUGAUGGCUGGAACUUAGAACACACCUCCAGUUAGUCUGUCUCCCUCAGGUAAGCCCCCAUCUGCUGUAUCUUUUUAGCUCCAGUGGAGCCUGGCCCCACUUUAGAAAUCACCUGUUCAUAUUGUAUCAUAAUAAAAGAACAAUAAUAAAUAUUUUUGUACUUUCAUAACCUCUGACUCGUUUCAGGUAUUAUUGCAGGACACUCCUCCCUUCCCCCCCCCCCUUUGGUUAUUUAAUAAACUUAUGAUUUGACUGGAAUUCACGUUGUCUGCUUGGUGCUUUCGGACCUGUGUCAAACCUUCCUUAGCAAAUUCUCUUAAAGAAGUCCCAGGGUACUAAGCCCAGGGUGGCGUAGUCGGGCUACUGGG